AGGGACUUAGGUUAGAUUUAGACCUAGGGCCUUCAAAGCCCUCAGCGGGAGUUAGACUCUCCCAGACCCUG
rnacentral:tRNA from 1 species